UGUGGUCUGCUGUCCAGCGUCGGGGUCCGCCGCAGCCGACGCGUCGGCCGACGCCCGCUGACCCGUGGAGCGCGAGUCGAGCGCCGUUUCAGCGACGCUGUCACGGCUCCUCAGUACGCGACCGGCGAGGGCUUUUGCCGCGUGCCAGGGCGCGGGCAGAAAAGUUCCCGGCUCGCAAAGGAUCUUCGACGCAUCUGAGAUGCUUUCCAGGUCUUGGAACGAUGCUGAGGUUUUGAAGAUGAUGGCCCAAGGCUGCCGCUGCCUGGCGGCGGCGAGCGCCUUCUGAAUGCUGGGCAUUCUGCACGCUGAGAGCGGCGCCCGGAGCCGGAUGGAGCCCACGCGCGGCUCCGCCCGCUACGGCGCCUCCCCGGAGCCGGAGCCGAGCCGGGCCGACGCCAAACCGUCCCACCGCGCCUCCCACCGGCGCACUCGCCAUACGCACCGGACCCGACUGGACGAGCCCUUCGAAGCAGCCGCCUCUUCAGUCUCCACCGCAAUGGCCGCGUCGACCGGGCUGCCACCGUCGCCGCCGCCGCGGGACGUGCUGGAGGUGCAGAUCAUGC